rnacentral:rRNA from 1 species
GUCAGCAGCUGUACCACCUGCAGUUCAGAGUAGGUCAUCCAUCUGAAGAUAAGCAGGUUUGGGCCUGGCCAGUACUUGGAUGGGAGACCAACUUAGAAAGCUGGGUUGCUGCUGGAA